CCGGGGAGGGGGUGCUGGCCCCACAGGCCUGGCCGGAGAGGGUGGCCGGAGCUGCCCACCCCCUGGCCCCUCCCCCGCAGGGAGCCGCUGCGGGCCUGGCGGACUCAGGGUGGGGAGGGGGGCGCAGCCCAGCGCCCGAAUUUUCUAAAUCGCUGCCUCUCUCUUCCCAGACCGCCACCCCGAGCGGGCUCCCCGCUCCAAAUCGGACCCCCUGGAGUCCCCCCGCUGUGCAUGUGAACACAGUGAGGCCCGCAGCGUGGCAGGGCCGGGGGCGGGGGCGGAAGAACAGCUGGAAACGCCAGCGUGCCCCAGGGUCACGCUGCGACGCAGGUGCCAACAGAGAUCUAUUCCGUGCCGGCCCUCUGCGUUCCGAUACCCCUAGGAUUGGGGUACCCGCUCCCAGACGUCCUUCGGUGCCUUGCCACUUAGCUCCCCGGACCCUCAGUUUCCCAUCUGUUAAAUAGGGAGAUGGUUUUCAUCUCCUGAGUGUGUGCAGAUGUAAAGUACAACAGCCAGCCGGCGCAGGUGAGGGGGGAGGGUGAGGAGAGCUGCUUCGGCCACCUCUUUCCCACCCCCACCCCGCCCCCGAGAGAGCCCUGGGGUUCGCGGACCCAAACCCGCACUCAAAGGACUGGGAGGCCGAGAAAUCUGGAGGCCAGGAGACAAACAGGAAGGAAGUUCUGACAAUGCUACAAGGCGGAUGAACCUUGAGGACAUUAUGCCAAGUGAUUAAAACAGUCACAAAAAGACAAAUACGCAUGAUUCUGAGAAGGGUCGCCUCAGUAUCCUCAGAUGUUAACGGCAUCCGCGUGGGUGAAAGGUUAAGAGCCCUCGCACCUCCAAUUGGAGGAUCCCGACAGGAAUUCCGGAGCAACCAGGGAUUCUGGGAAUGGUAGUUCACAGCCCCCAGCUGGAGCCUCGCGGAGAAGGGUGGGCUUGGAGCUGGGAGACAAAAGCUCCGAGACCGACAUCGGGUGGGCGAGGGGUUCGAAGGAUGCACGCUCGGCACGCCCGGCCCCCACGCUGCCCGCCGGUCUCACACGCGCACACACACCUGUCCACUUGUGCCGUGCGGCACGUGGCGCUCCGGGUUGCAUUCGCACACGUUUUCCAAUACAGGUGUCCAUUCGAACGUGUGCGGGUCAAGCUCGCAGACGCUUCCUCGCUCUUUCCGGAGACAUCCCCGCUGGAGCAGGGGCCUCGGCAGUGACCGCGAAGGGCCUGGGCGAGGGGGUGAUGCGCAGCAAGUGUGCCAGGCAGAGGGCACAGAGUGCAAAGGCCCCGAGGCAGGAGGUUGCGUGGCCAGCGGGAUGGCUGGGGGAGAACAGCAGGAGACGAGGGAGGCUCGGCUUCGUUGGCCAAGGAGGGGCGUUAGGACAGGCCAGAGGCCGGGUCUCGCAGGUGAGCGCCGGGCCGCUUGCCUAGUGAAUUGAAUGACACUUAUUGUUCUCCGCGUGGGUGCAGCGGCGGCUUCGGAAGUGACUCAGCGGAAUUCCUGGGCGCUGGGGGUGGGCUGGAGGGAUGCUCCGAAUAGGCUGGGGAGGGGGCGUAGCCCGCACAGAGGCCCCACCUCCGAGUUCUGGCCGCACCCACCCCGGAGUUCUCCACCCGCCCCCCACCUACACCCCAGCUUAGGGCUUCUGGAGGGACCCGCGGGAGCCGAGGAAAGGAGGGUAUUGGUGGGCGUAGAGCCCGAGGGUUCAGGGAGAGAGGGAGGGAGCGGGGUGGGCGGGGCCUUCUCCGCAUCCUCGGGACCCCCCCAUCCUUGAGCCUAGACUUGGGUGGACGUGGGGCGCCCUGGAAGGAACUGGGGUGCGGAGGGGAGACGGCUGUCUUCAGUUCCAGAGGCCCAGGCCUUUGGCGGGAGCUGAGCUGGCCCAGUCCGGACUCCCUGAGUGACUCAGCCGGAUCAGGACCUCUCUAGGACUAACUUCUUCCCCUAAAUAAAGGGAACUAUUCAGUAAGCACGCUCAA